rnacentral:rRNA from 1 species
CCUACGGGUGGCAGCAGUGAGGAAUAUUGGUCAAUGGGCGAGAGCCUGAACCAGCAAAGUCGCGUGAAGGAUGACGGCCCCACGGGUUGUAAACUUCUUUUGUCAGGGAGCAAUUGAGUCCACGUGUGGUCUUAGCGAGAGGACCUGAAGAAAAAGCAUCGGCCAACCCCGUGCCAGCUGCCGCGGUAAUACGGAGGAUGCGAGCGGUAUCCGGCUUUAUUGGGUUUAAAGGGUGCGUAGGCGGAAUAUCAAGUCAGCGGUAAAAAUUCGGGGCUCAACCCCGGCGUGCCGCUGAGACUGAUGUUCUGGAGUGGGCGAGAAGUAGGCGGAAUGCGUGGUGUAGCGGUGAAAUGCAUAGAUAUCACGCAGAACUCCGAUUGCGAAGGCAGCAUACCGGCGCCCAACUGACGCUGAAGCACGAAAGCGUGGGUAUCGAACAGGAUUAGAUACCCUUGUAGUC